rnacentral:rRNA from 1 species
CGCUGGCGGCGUGCCUAAUACAUGCAAGUCGAACGGUCUUUCUGUGGAAGCUUGCUUCCACUGAGAAGAUAGUGGCGGACGGGUGAGUAACACGUGGGUAACCUGCCCAUAAGAGGGGGAUAACAUCCGGAAACGGGUGCUAAUACCGCAUAGUUUUCUUGAUCGCAUGAUUGAGAAAGGAAAGACGGCCUUUGUGCUGUCGCUUAUGGAUGGACCCGCGGCGUAUUAGUUAGUUGGUGAGGUAAUGGCUCACCAAGACGAUGAUACGUAGCCGACCUGAGAGGGUGAUCGGCCACAUUGGGACUGGGACACGGCCCAAACUCCUACGGGAGGCAGCAGUAGGGAAUCUUCCGCAAUGGACGAAAGUCUGACGGAGCAACGCCGCGUGAGUGACGAAGGUUUUCGGAAUCGUAAAACUCUGUUGUCAGAGAAGAACAAGUUGGAGAGUAACUGCUCCAGCCUUGACGGUAUCUGACCAGAAAGCCACGGCUAACUACGUGCCAGCAGCAGC